rnacentral:rRNA from 1 species
ACUACGGGGUGCAGCAGUGAGGAAUAUUGGUCAAUGGGCGUAAGCCUGAACCAGCCAAGUCGCGUGAGGGAUGAAGGUUCUAUGGAUCGUAAACCUCUUUUAUAAGGGAAUAAAGUGUGGGACGUGUCCUAUUUUGUAUGUACCUUAUGAAUAAGGAUCGGCUAACUCCGUGCCAGCAGCCGCGGUAAUACGGAGGAUCCGAGCGUUAUCCGGAUUUAUUGGGUUUAAAGGGUGCGUAGGCGGCUUUUUAAGUCAGCGGUGAAAGUCUGUGGCUCAACCAUACAAUUGCCGUUGAAACUGGGUGCCUUGUGUACAGUUGAGGCAGGCGGAAUGCGUGGUGUAGCGGUGAAAUGCUUAGAUAUCACGCAGAACCCCGAUUGCGAAGGCAGCCUGCCAAACCAUGACUGACGCUGAUGCACGAAAGCGUGGGGAUCAAACAGGAUUAGAUACCCUUGUAGUC